rnacentral:rRNA from 1 species
GACGAACGCUGGCGGCGUGCUUAACACAUGCAAGUCGAACGGAAAGGCCCUGCUUUUGUGGGGUGCUCGAGUGGCGAACGGGUGAGUAACACGUGAGUAACCUGCCCUUGACUUUGGGAUAACUUCAGGAAACUGGGGCUAAUACCGGAUAGGAGCUCCUGCUGCAUGGUGGGGGUUGGAAAGUUUCGGCGGUUGGGGAUGGACUCGCGGCUUAUCAGCUUGUUGGUGGGGUAGUGGCUUACCAAGGCUUUGACGGGUAGCCGGCCUGAGAGGGUGACCGGCCACAAUGGGACUUGGAUACGGCCCCGGCUCCUUCGGGAGGCAGGAGGGGGGAAUUAUGCCCCAUGGGGCGAAGCCUGAUGGCGCAACGCCGGGGGCGGGAUGACGGCCUUCGGGUUGUAAACCGCUUUCGCCUGUGACGAAGCGUGAGUGACGGUAAUGGGUAAAGAAGCACCGGCUAACUACGUG